CGUGUAGGUGGUUUCGUAAGUCUGGCGUGAAAUAUCUCGGCUUAACCGAGGCAGGUCGUCGGAUACUGCGGAACUAGAGGACGGUAGAGGCGUGUGGAAUUCCGGGUGUAGUGGUGAAAUGCGUAGAGAUCCGGAGGAACACCAGUGGCGAAGGCGACACGCUGGGCCGUGCCUGACACUGAUGCGCGACAGCAUGGGGAGCAAACA
rnacentral:rRNA from 1 species